GACGAACGCUGGCGGCGUGCUUAACACAUGCAAGUCGAGCGGUAAGGCCCUUUCGGGGGUACACGAGCGGCGAACGGGUGAGUAACACGUGGGUGACCUGCCUUUAGCUCUGGGAUAAGCCUGGGAAACCGGGUCUAAUACCGGAUAUGACUCCGCGGCGCAUGUUGUGGGGUGGAAAGCCUUGUGCGGCUGGAGAUGGGCCCGCGGCCUAUCAGCUUGUUGGUGGGGUGAUGGCCUACCAAGGCGACGACGGGCAGCCGGCCUGAGAGGGCGACCGGCCACACUGGGACUGAGACACGGCCCAGACUCCUACGGGAGGCAGC
rnacentral:rRNA from 1 species